rnacentral:rRNA from 1 species
GGAGUCUGGGCCGUGUCUCAGUCCCAAUGUGGCCGUCCGCCCUCUCAGGCCGGCUACUGAUCGUCGGUUUGGUGGGCCGUUACCCCGCCAACUGCCUAAUCAGACGCGGGGCCAUCCCAUUCCACCGGAGUUUUUCUACACUGUAUCAUGCGAUACCGUGCGCUUAUGCGGUAUUAACAGUCGUUUCCAACUGGUAUCCCCCGGAAUGGGGCAGGUUCCCCACGCGUUACUCACCCGUCCGCCACUCGGUUAAAACUGCUUCCAUCCGAAAACUUCCGCUGUAAUAACCUCGUUCGACUUGCAUGUGUUAAGCACGCCGCCAGCGUUCAUC